ACAGCAGUAGCGCGGUAAUACGGAGGGUGCAAGCGUUAUCCGGAUUUAUUGGGUUUAAAGGGUCCGUAGGCGGACUUAUAAGUCAGUGGUGAAAGCCUGUCGCUUAACGAUAGAACUGCCAUUGAUACUGUAAGUCUUGAGUAUAUUUGAGGUAGCUGGAAUAAGUAGUGUAGCGGUGAAAUGCAUAGAUAUUACUUAGAACACCAAUUGCGAAGGCAGGUUACCAAGAUAUAACUGACGCUGAGGGACGAAAGCGUGGGUAGCGAACAGGAUUAGAUACCCCCGUAGUCCCUGUCUCUUAUACA
rnacentral:rRNA from 1 species